rnacentral:rRNA from 1 species
UACAUGGGGUGCAAACGUUGCUCGGAAUUAUUGGGCGUAAAGCGCACGUAGGCGGUUCGUUAAGUCGGAUGUGAAAGCCCUCGGCUCAACUGAGGAAGUGCACCCGAAACUGGCGAGCUUGAGUACGAAAGAGGAUCGCGGAAUUCCCGGUGUAGAGGUGAAAUUCGUAGAUAUCGAGAGGAACACCGGUGGCGAAGGCGGCUACCUGGACAGUGACUGACGCUGAGACGCGAAAGCGUGGGGAGCAAACAGG